UACGGAGGAUGCAAGCGUUAUCCGGAUUUAUUGGGUUUAAAGGGUCCGUAGGCGGGCUAAUAAGUCAGUGGUGAAAUCGAGCAGCUUAACUGUUCAACUGCCAUUGAAACUGUUGGUCUUGAGUGAAUUUGAAGUUGCCGGAAUAUGUAGUGUAGCGGUGAAAUGCAUAGAUAUUACAUAGAACACCAAUUGCGAAGGCAGGUAACUAAGAUUUAACUGACGCUGAUGGACGAAAGCGUGGGGAGCGGACAGGAUUAGAUACCCU
rnacentral:rRNA from 1 species